CUGACGCUGAGGAGCGUAAGCGUGGGGAGCGAACAGGAUUAGAUACCCUGGUAGUCCACGCCGUAAACGUUGGGCGCUAGAUGUGGGUCACAUUCCACGUGAUCCGUGUCGCAGCUAACGCAUUAAGCGCCCCGCCUGGGGAGUACGGCCGCAAGGCUAAAACUCAAAGGAAUUGACGGGGGCCCGCACAAGUGGCGGAGCAUGCGGAUUAAUUCGAUGCAACGCGAAGAACCUUACCAAGACUUGACAUAUUCAGGAAAACUGCAGAAAUGUAGUCCCCCGCAAGGGUCUGUUUACAGGUGGUGCAUGGUUGUCGUCAGCUCGUGUCGUGAGAUGUUGGGUUAAGUCCCGCAACGAGCGCAACCCUCGUCCUAUGUUGCCAGCACGUUAUGGUGGGAACUCAUGGGAGACUGCCGGGGUCAACUCGGAGGAAGGUGGGGAUGACGUCAAAUCAUCAUGCCCCUUAUGUCUUGGGCUUCACGCAUGCUACAAUGGCCGGUACAAAGGGCUGCAAUACCGCAAGGUGGAGCGAAUCCCAAAAAGCCGGUCUCAGUUCGGAUUGAGGUCUGCAACUCGACCUCAUGAAGUCGGAGUCGCUAGUAAUCGCAGAUCAGCAGCGCUGCGGUGAAUACGUUCCCGGGCCUUGUACACACCGCCCGUCAAGUCACGAAAGUCGGUAACACCCGAAGCCGGUGGCCUAACCGUAAGGAAG
rnacentral:rRNA from 1 species